rnacentral:rRNA from 1 species
UACGGUAGGUGGCGAGCGUUGUCCGGAUUUACUGGGCGUAAAGAGCGCGCAGGCGGUCGUUCAAGUCGCGUGUGAAAGCCCCCGGCUCAACUGGGGAGGGUCACGCGAUACUGAUCGACUCGAAGGCAGGAGAGGGUAGUGGAAUUCCCGGUGUAGUGGUGAAAUGCGUAGAGAUGUGGAGGAACACCGAUGGCGAAGGCAGCCCCCUGGGUCAAGAUUGACGCUCAUGCACGAAAG